rnacentral:rRNA from 1 species
UACGGAGGGUGCAAGCGUUGUCCGGAAUUAUUGGGCGUAAAGAGCUCGUAGGCGGUUUGUCGCGUCUGCUGUGAAAACUCGGGGCUUAACUCCGGGCCUGCAGUGGGUACGGGCAGACUAGAGUGCGGUAGGGGAGACUGGAAUUCCUGGUGUAGCGGUGAAAUGCGCAGAUAUCAGGAGGAACACCGGUGGCGAAGGCAGCUCGCUGGGACGUUACUGACGCUGAGACGCGAAAGCGUGGGGAGCAAACAGG